GCCCCAAAGUUAAUUGUCCCCUCCUACGUCCUCCAAGAGACUUUUGUCCCGUGCCUCUAGAUCACUUCACAGGCUGGAUUCUGAGCGGCCAUGAGUCAGUCCCUGGCGUCAAACAGAAGGUAGAGAGUCCCCUGGGCCUGUUAGGAGCGGGGUGAUGGUUACCAGACCCGCAAGGCUUUCUAAGAAUUGGGACGGAUCGAUCACAGUAUCGGUGACGCUUGUAUCUGACAACUUCAGGUUUACUUAGAAGCCUAAAAAUAAUGUCAAAGCUGUGCUUUGCAUGUCACUUUUUCACUCUAGAAGCCUGCCUGCUUUAUCUGUGGGAAGAGAGAGCAUUAUUUACUGCGCAGACCAUAUGCCCAAUAGUUGUUAGAAUGCGAUUAAGUAAAACACAGCCUCCAGCAGAUCAGUGCAGACACGGGCCAGCCCUUGCCUGCAACGUUGCCAACGUCCCCAGGGUCUGACUCCCUGUCUGGCGGUGAGUUCCCCCAGGGCCACACCGCAGGCCUCGUGCAGCAGGCACGUGCCAAUGUUGGGUGAAAACUAACAAACUAGAAUGAGCACAUGCGCUCCAGGUGGGAUUGCCUAGGCGUAAAUCCUCACCCCGCCGUGUGCUAGCUGUGUGAUUUAGUCACAUUUUUAACGUUUCAAAGAGAUCUCUUUUCUCUCGCCUGUAAAAUGGGUGUAUUAGUAAUAUCUACCUCAUGGGGUGAUAUUAUUACUAUGACAUCUAAUUGGAACACUGUAUAAAAGGGGCCAGGGAUAGAGCCUGGCCGAUAGUGAAUACCCCGUCCAAGUUCACUGCUGUUUUCAUUACUGUUGGGUUGAACUGUGCGGUUCAGACUUCAUCACAACAGGAAUCAGAUCGCCCCAGGCAGUGUUUACCGAGCACUUCCCGUGUACCUCGCGUGCACUUGCGUAAGCCCAUGACGACCUCAGGAGAUGGGAACUGGGGCCGCCCCAUUGCGUUUCCACGGGAAGCCAGGCGCAAGAGGCAGACGACUGGCCGGAAACCUCCUUGCCGGGGAGCAGGAGGGCCCGGAGUCACAGCGGGCAGCUUGGCCCCAGAGUGGGGCUCUUCGCCUGCACACCACGCGGCCGCCUCGAGAGCGCUGGGGGCUGAGCCGGACUUGAAGGACAAGCCGAAGACAGAGGAGCCUGCGAGUGUACUCCUUCUACUUAUAAAAAAAAAGAAAGUUAACUACAAAACAGCCUUUGGCAGGUCCUGCAGGAGAUAUUCCAGAAGAAGUCACUGUUGAAGAAAAUAAUUUCUUUAUGAAUUCAGUGUAGCCUGCGUGUCCAGUGUUUAUAAAGUCUGCGGGAGUGUCAGUACUGUCCUCGGCCUUCGCAUUCAUUCACGCACCACGCGCUCACUCACUCACGCAGAGCGACUUCCGGUCCUGCGAGCUCCAUUCAUGGUAAGUGCCUAUCCAGGUGUACCACUUUUUACCUUUUGUACCAUAUUUUUACUGUACCUUUUCUAUGUUUAGACACGGUUAGAUACCCAAAUAUUUACCACUGUGCUGCAACUGCCUGCCGUGUUCAGCACAGUAACGCGCCGUGUGGGUUUGCAGCCGAGGAGCCACUGUCUGUCUGGGUUUGCGGGAGUCCACUCUAUGCCGUUCACAGGACGAAACUGCCCGAAGACACGUUUCUCAGAGUGGGUCCUCGUUGUGAAGCCGGGCGAGACCGUACUGGGAUAUCUCUGUUGUUAGUGCCGUGCACCUGCUGUGUCAGCCAUUGCGCCGGGCACUCACACCUGCUUGCUCUUUGGGUCCCUACAAAUCUCUGCAGCCAUCGCUGUGCCCAUGACACAGAGGGGGAAGCCGAGGCUCAGGGGUCAAAGCGGCUUCCCCAGGAAGAACUUGCUGCCCCGGCUAACGGAGGACCAACACCUGGAGUGCCCCAGACCCACGCUCUCUCCCUACAGCACGCCAUGGCUGGGAAGAGUCUGUUUCAGCAUUUCCAGCAAGACAAGACAAGGUGCUUCCGCUUGGGACCCUAAAAGAUGAAGACUCCUUUUUAGAACAACAUAACUACAGGGCUCUCACCACAUCUAAGAGCACUGACCGUGAUCCCUUAAUGACAAACAUCCUCAGCGUUCAGAUUUCCACUUGCCCCAUAAUUGGCAUUUUAAAAAUAUAAUUUGUUUGAAUCAGGACCUGAAUCAGGUUCCGACAUGGAUUAGUUAACAUGUCUUUUAAGCUUAUGUAUAAAUUCUCCAUCUCUCUCUUUUCUUCUUCCUCAGAGUUUAUUUAUCAAAGGAACUUGUCCUAUAGAGUGCCCCCGAGGUGUGGAUUUUGCUGACAGCUCAAUGUCUUUAUCUGUAAAAUGGGGGUACUAACCGUUCCCAAGAAUUAAAUGAGAUAACGUCUAUGAAUGAGCACUGAUGACUGGAAGGCCCAACAAACGCCACGUGUUAAUACGUCCUUGGCCUUUCAGUGAUACCCGAGCACUUCUGUCGUCCUGAUGACACAGUGGGGCUCAGAGAAGCCUAGUAACCUGCCCAUGCUCACACAGCCGCUGACGGUAGGGUGGGGGUCCCCAGCGGGGCCUGGAAGGAGCCAUAAGUUCAGGCAGACCUGGCUUGAAUCCCAUUUUUCUAGGGCCUUGGGUUUCAGGUCGAGAUUCAGUUUCUUCAUUGGCAAAAGCGGGCGGGAGGCCAGACCUGCGUGGGGCUGAAAUGAGCCGAUGUGAGAAGAGCUCUCGGGGUACCUGGCCUAGCAUCUCCCCCAUCCCUUUCGCUGUCUGUUCUCUGACUCUAAUACCCCGUGCCCACAUAAGGCCCAGCCUCCUUCCCUGUGGAGCGGGGGUGAGGCCUGGCCCUGGCGGAGACAAACCUGGGUCCCUCAGGCCGGCAGAGACAGGGUGGGCGGCAGGAAGUUGAGCACACUCUGUUCUCAGGGCCGGCAGCUGUGACCUCUUGGGCGGCAGGAAACAAUCAGCUAUUCUUCCUCCUUCCCCCUCUGUUUUGUGGCUCACCCCCUGGGCGCAGGGGCCUAGAGGGAAAUGCUCCAGCUCCCAGCAGUGCCCAGCCCAUCUGUGUGGCCCCAACGUAUGGUUUGAACCUAUGGUUUCCAGGCACCGGCCCGGCUCUAACCAGCCUGAGCCUAAGUCACUGUUCCCAGCUCAGCUGACACUGACAGUUUGAUUUCUACCCAGGUUCGGUGUCAUUUGUUCAUUGAAAACAGCCUAGGGGGGCCUGCAAAUAAUAAUAACAAUAAAAAUGACAGCGACAACAGCAAUAAUAAUCGCUCACAUUGCAUAGCUCCUACCUUAUGCCUGCCAUGGCACGUGAGGCAGCAUUGUCAUUGCCCCAUUUUACAGGUGAGGAAACCGAGCACUGAGAGUUUGAUCAACUCACCCCAGGCCACAUGGCCCGUCAGUGGCAGGGCUGGGCUUUGAAUAAAGGUUUGCCAGGUAAAAAGUUGGCACUGCAAAAGAGGAAUUAAAUCCAGCUGCCAGUGGUCACGCAUGCCAAGGGUCAUGCCAGCUGCUUUCAAUAUAUUAUCUCGGUGACUCCUCACAGUGGCCUCCAAAUAGCAACCUUAUUGUUCCAUUUGCAUUUGAGGAAACCGAGGUUCAGAGAGGUAGAGCAAUGUGCCCGAGCACACACAGCUGAGUCUGCCUGAAUCCACGAUUCUUCCAAGCUGAGAGUAAAAUCGCAUCACUAGAACUCAAGAGAGAAAGUUCUGAGGCUGGGUGUGGAGGCUCAUGCCUGUGAUCCCAGCACUUUGGGAGGCUGACGCAGGAGGGUCAC